rnacentral:lncRNA from 1 species
AAUGUCACGCAAGAACAAAAGACCGGAAAUAUCUGCGUGAUAAAAGGUGGUUGAAGAAGCAUCCCAGGAGCUUUGGUUACCAUGAAAGUCUCAGAAACAACUCGAAAGUUAGAAAACUGUUGGAUAUUACUGUGUACUGUUUUUUGUGUGUGUGUGUGUGUGCUUAUAUGUUAAACAUACGGCAGUAGAUAGAUCUCAUUGAGAUGAGCUUUUUCCCCCCGUAGUUGAAACAGCAAAUCUGUUCAUAUCAAAUUGUUCCGGGGAAAACUUGAGCUGUACCUUUAAGGGGUUCUGCUUUUCCUAUUUGUGUUGGCAUUUGAAAGAUUGUGGAGGCAGAAAACUUUCUGGAAUGUCAAAAAAAAAAAUUGUUGGAACUCUUAAAUUGAGUAUUUCCAAUUGUGGGCGCUAAGGGGCGCCAGUUAUUUUUUUUAAGCAUAAGAGAUGUUUGGAGCAAAAUGUGUAACAUUCUCAGUUACCUGACCUAUAUUAAAUUUAGUUGAAACUUAAAUCAUAGGUUAUUUUGUCAUUCUGUGUCCGUAUAUAUAUUUGAAAACACUUCGGAACACUUUUAUCACAUUUCAUGUGAUUUCAUGAAUUCCACAUGCGCUGUGGAAGUAAUAACGCUAUUUUUUCUUGGCACAUUUUGAUGCAUUUAAAGUUUUAGUAGUAUUCGUAAAAACUUUUGUUAAGCUUUUUCUUUAAGCCUAGUUGUAUAGAAGAAAUCCUUUAUAGUCAUUAAAGUGAAAAUAGGCUUUGAUUAUAUUAGGGUUAAAGUUAAGUUGAAGUCUGAAUUAAAAUGUUGGAUUCAGUAAGACAGCAUAGGAGAUUAUAAAAAGUUUGCAAAUGUUUUCUCCUCAUUUGUACUAUUUGAAGUAAAUAAUUUGAGUUUCUCUGACUAGUUUUGAAAGAUUUGUAGUGUUAUGUUGGUCUGAAAUCUCUAAAUGGUAAUUGAAGUUGGUUCUAAUCUUUGGCAUGAUAAUUUUUAAUCUUCUAAAUCUAGAAUUCCAGUUAUGUCCAUUAUUUCUAACAAAGGUUGGUUUGUUCGUUUCUCUCUGUUUGGAAAUAGUAAUCGUUUGAGUUUUAAAUGUUGUAAACCACUGGUUGAGGAGGAAACAGUCUAAGUAAUAUGUAUUUUUUAUUUUUAUUAUGGUUUACUUCAUCUCUGUCUCAGUCUCUGUUGAGUUUUAGCCUUUUCAACUCCCCAGCAUAAAGAAUGCUCCUGUAUAGUAGCUAGGAUGUUUAAAAAGGGACAGCAUAAUGACUAGGAAGUUUGAUUGUUUUUUAUCAGACCAGUACAAACAGGGAGGGAAGGGGGUUAUUCCUUAGUGUGGAAUAAGCUGCUUCCUGUAAUUGUUAGCCUUAUUAUAAACUUAAUUUGACUUAAAAAUACUGGUUUCUGAAGUUCAUCACGUUUUUAUCUGUGCUGGAUUGGAUUUUCAAUUUGGCAAGUUGUCCUUUACUCCUUUGUGGCCUAUCAUUGUCCAAAACAAAUUAAUCUACUUGUUUGUGGUUAGGAAUUAUAAUUUCCUUUGUCCAUAUGAUUGGCUGAGGAAUUCUUUUUAAAUUUAUUUAAAACUAAAUUUCAUUUCAGUGAUUAGUUUAAUCAAGAUAUUGUACUUACUGACAGUAGUUGUAUCUUCUGAUAAUUGGAAGUUUUGAAUGAGUAGCAAUUUUAUUUUGAAAUAUUUUUCAAAAGCGUUAAACAAAUUUCCUGGUCAGUUUGAGAAUAUUUAUUUGCUCGGUUACACAUUGGGGAUUUCUGGGUUCUAGAUUUUGUUUGGUUGAUUAAAACUUGAAUGCUUUAGAGUGAGCAUUUUAAUUUUAUGCCAAGUUAACCUUUAUAUUUUGACUGUGGACUAUGAACAGUCUUUUUUUGUUUACUGUGUUGGUUUUUUUGUUGUUGUGGGGCAGGGUGUCAGAUUUUUCUCUGAAGUAACUUUAUUUAGCAUGGUUGUUUUUUUAGGUUGUUGAAUGCAUUCUAGGUUGGACCAUGAAAGACAUAGCAUCAGUUGAUAAUUCUGAUACUUACUUAGUCUUCCAUUGAGAUAGAGACGAUCACAGAUAGGUUUGAGGUUUUAAAGUGUUAAACUGCUCUUCCUUUAAAGAGAAGUUUUCCACUGAACCACCGUGGGACUAUCCAUGGGAAAGAAUAGGUUUUUUUUUUUUGGGGGGAACCUUCCCUUGUCGUGAAAAUGAGACUUAAGCAGAAACAGUAUUUGAAUGCAAAUUCUGUUUUAAUAAAGUAUUGCAAUUUAGAAUUGAGACAGCAUAAAAGUAAAAAUAAAGUCACUCCACUUAAAAAUCCCAAAUAGGGGAAAAUGGAGAUCUAGAGAUAUUAAAAUUAGAUUUUGAGUUUUCAUUUUUAGGCAGAUAUGAAAGUUAAUGUGAAUAUAUGGUAUAGUUUUUGAGGAAGGCUAGCCUAAAUCUUCUUUUGUGAAUAACUGAAAAAGUAGUGCAUGGUUCAGAAAAAGCAAACGUGUUAGAGUUCACAUUAGUGAUCUGAAAAAUUUGUGUUCACUUUUUCAUGAUCUUUUUUGGGGUUGGGGGGUGAGGAGAGAUGUAAAUUUUCUUUUUGACCUCAAUUUAUUUUUUCUCAGUUUCUUCUCCCUUUCUUACACUUCUUUUUUUUUUUUUAAGAAAUCUUGCUCAGUUUAGAAUUACAUGGUUUUUUUUUUUUUUUAUUGAGAGGAAUUUUGUUAUAUAAGUUUAUUAUAGUUGAUUGUUUUUUUUUCCCCCCCUGAUGAAGCAUUGUUGACAAUAAUCAAUAUCUGUGACAAACUGAUUUUAAGUUGAAGUAAUGAAUUUGUUCUUUAGAAGCAAAGGUUGUGCUUUUGUAUGCACGGACCUUUGCAUUAUUAGUAAUGAGAAAGAAGCUAGUUUUUGUAAUCAGUUUUCUCCAUUACCUUUUUUUCUCCUCACCCAGGAGGUGUCAGCAGCUAUAAUAAGGUAAUAAAGGAAAUGAUAAUUUGUAUCAUGGGUCAUUUAUUCAACAUUUAUUCAAUACUUUUGAAGCUUAACUUCUAGACAGUGUAUAUAAAAUGCUUGUACAUACUAUGAUGCAGAUGAUUUCUUUUUCUUAACUUUAUCCAGUUUACAUGAUAAUGUACUUGAGUUAAUAGAAAUAGGUCUCUGCUAAUCACAUUUGCUAGUGUGUUUGGUAUGAGCACCUUUUCUUAAAUGGCUUUGAGAAUAUCAAAUGAAAACAAGAUAAUUUUAUCUUUUAAUGCUUUGUACAUAUUUUAUUCCUGUUGUUAUCCCCCUACUAGUCACAAUCCUGAAGUUGAAAUGCAUCCGUUUUUCAUAAGAACAGAUGGUUUUUGGCUUCCUUCUUAAGGGAAAUAGAUUCCUGCAACAAAAGACAUGAAGUGAACCCUCCUUCCCUUUCCUGAGCAUGAUUCAGGUGCUCCUUUUUUGAGGCCAGUAUAAGGUUUUUGUUUCGUUUUUUGACUUUUUUUUUGGGUGUUAAGGAGAAUUACACCAGUAUGAUUAUAAGGGCAACUUUUAUAAUCUGACUGGAACCACAUUUUAUUUUACUUGAGAAUUUACUUUAAUAUACUUUGAUUUAUAAUGAUGCAGUUGUAAGUAAAACUUGGCCUUACUCUGUUGGAGAUGUUGGAAGUGCUAUGCUGUUGUUUUAGUUUUUGAUUACUUAAAAGUUGGAGCCCACUGAGCAGUUUUCUCUUACUUACAUGUCAGCUAUUGUGAGAUAUGUAAGGAUCUAUUUUAGGGUCAGCGGAAGGGGUCAGUGCAUGGGCCCAUGUGAAGAAGUCAUAGUUAAAAUUAUGUGCUGAUUUUUUAUUUACAUGAUUGACAGGACUUUGUCAUGUGCUCUGACCCCUCUUGUUUUGACAUUGACAGUUCAGUGUGAAUUCUACGUGCAAAAAUGUAUCUCUUAAUGAGAACUUUUAGGAAGUGCUUAUCCCUUUUUUUGAAUUGGCAUUGCAGUGUUCGGACUCAAAAUAGCUAGGUUGUUUGAUGCCCAAGUAAGAUUUUUACAGGUUUAUUUUCAUUUAAUAGAAAGCAAAAAUAGCAUUAAUCUUUUCAUAGUGAGUACAGUUUGUUUUGUUAGUGUGACUCUGUUACGAAAUUUGACUAUAAAUAUAACCCCCCGGCCUGUGUUAGGUACUACUCUCUGUAUAGUUAUCAACAUACUUAACAUGGUAAUAUCAUCUCUUUUUUUGUCAGUCUCUGGUUUGUAACGUCAUCUCUCUCGUUUGUUUGUUAGAAAUAGUUUCUUAAAAGUGGCCACCUCAUAGCCUGCAUAUGUGCGAUCUCAGGUAUUUGUUGAAUUAAUAAAUAAGUUCACAGUUUAAAUUCUUUUUUCAUUUCUAGUUUCUCUAAAAUACAGGAUUAAGCAGAUGGUUUUGGGUAAUUAGAAAAAAAGGUACACGUUUUUCUUAAAAAUGGUAUUUUUUAGAAAUUUUAAAAUAUUUUUUGAAGUACAUGCCCUCAAGGAGCUUAAUUUUAUUUUACUACCAUUGGUAUGAAUGAGAAUUAGAAAGAUGAAGUUGCUUUACUUAAGCAGUAGUUUCUAGCCAGUCUUAUACAAAGUGGAUCAGUCCAUAGGCAGAGAAGAUCUGUCAGUGUUCAUCUCAGCUUGUGCAUGUUUUGGCAUUUAUGGAAUUACGUAGGUGAACCUUCCCUUAGUCAGUUAAGUAUAAAGGCAACAUUCAGCCGAUAUGUAUGUCUUGUACUCUGUGCAAAGCACAGUGAAUAUGAAAGACUUCUUUUUCCUAAUGCUUUGAUGUGCUCAGGAUAAAUAAGGACUAUUUGAAUGGUUUUAGUUUAGAGGAAAGCUGAGUAAACUUACGUGGCCGUUACAGUAAUUUAACACAAAUAGCAGGUUUUAAGACACAGGUGUUUAUUGAAGCUAAGUUGAAAGUGUCAUUACUUAGAAGACUGAUAAAUUUCAGUUAACUGAAAUUUAAUUCUCUUAAAAGGAGUCUACUUCUCUGCUUUAUCCGUAACAGUGUUUAAAGUAAAUCUGUCAAGAGUUUAACAAAUACAUAGCUUGUCGAAGUUAAGUGAUUUAUCCAAAAUUCUUGUAAUUAGCAAGGUGAUGACUGUACUUAAUGUUCUCAACAUUUCCUCAGUUUCCUGAAGCAGAAACUCAUUUCAAAACCUAGCAAUCCUGUCAAGUCUUAAUAAAAUAAACAGAAUUGUGUUUAUGUUCAUACUGUUGUUUCAUAUGUUUGAUUCUAAC